rnacentral:lncRNA from 1 species
CCGCAUUCCCCAUCGUCCUCGCUUUCCCAAAUCCCAACUGCUCCCUCAUCUCCUAGUUCAUCCUAGAUGAAAAUUUCCUGUAGGCAAUCAAGCAGAAAUCUCUGCAGCUAGCUGGUUGAUUAACCUUGAAUUCAAGAUCACUAGCUACAGCUGGAAGCAUGCAAGCUAUCUCGGUCGCCUAAUUAUUCCUAGCUUCUGGCUAAUUGCAUACUGUAACAGUGCUCUCAGAUCUCGAUACACGGGAGAAAGAAUUCAUCAGUUUCUUGCCAUUUCCUUCCAGCUCCAGAUCAUCUCUCUACUUCUCUAGCUAGCUAGAUACAAACCAUCUACAGUUGCAUCAUCUCUGCUCGAUCCUUCACUGAAAUAUUCCUUGUACUUGCACAUGAUCAUACCACUGGCUAGCUAGCUUCUCUCCAUUCUCUCCUUGCUGUUCCCAAAGUUGCAAUGGAGUUUAAUUUGCAUGGAUUUAGCUUAAGUAGCUAGACGGCAGCAGCUAGCUUGGAGAGAGUGAGAGUGAGAUCAGUGAGAGACCACGUGUGGCUGGGUUCCAGGCAACAAGCAAGCGCACGGCCCUCUAUAUAUGCCGUGUACAAGCACCAAAUCCGUGCCUCAAACCGCGCAAAGUGUACGAG